GCGCAGCAGGCGAGAAUACUUUACAAUGUGCGAAAGCACGAUAAGGGAACUCUGAGUGCCUCCUAAGGAGGCUGUUCAGGUGUCUAAAAGCACCUGGAGUAAGGGCUGGGUAAGACCGGUGCCAGCCGCCGCGGUAACACCGGCAGCCCAGGUGGUAGCCACUUUUAUUGGGUCUAAAGCGUCCGUAGCCGGUUGAGUAAGUUCCUUGGGAAAUUUUGGCUGCUCAACAGUCAAGCUUCCAGGGAAUACUGCUCGACUUGGGGACUGGGAGAGGUCAGAGGUACUCCAGGGGUAGGGUGGAAAUCCAUUAAUUCCCUGGGGGACCACCGGUAGCGAAGGCGUCUGACCAGACCAGGUCCGACGGUGAGGGACGAAGGCUAGGGUCGCGAACCGGAUUAGAUACCGCGUAGU
rnacentral:rRNA from 1 species